UACGAAGGGGGCUAGCGUUGUUCGGAAUUACUGGGCGUAAAGCGCGCGCAGGCGGCUCUUCAAGUCAGGGGUGAAAGCCCAGAGCUCAACUCUGGAACUGCCUUUGAGACUGAAGAGCUUGAGUACGGGAGAGGUGAGUGGAAUUCCCAGUGUAGAGGUGAAAUUCGUAGAUAUUGGGGAAGAACACCGAAUGGCGAAGGCGAGCACUCGUGGGAC
rnacentral:rRNA from 1 species